GGGUCGGUUCCAGAGCGGUCAAAUGGGUCAGACUGUAAAUCUGAUGGCUUUCGCCUUCGUAGGUUCGAAUCUUACCCGGCCCACAA
rnacentral:tRNA from 1 species